UCACUUUCGAGCAGCUACCGGUAAAAUUUGCUGAACCCUCGCUCUCGUACCCGAAACAGCAUCAUCACCAGUGUUGGGCAGUAAUGCAUUACAAAAGUAAUUAAUUGCCUCUACUGUAAUGCAUUACAGGGCAAAAAUAUGUAAUAUUAACUUAGUUACAAUGCUUACAAGUUACAUUUCAGUGUGGUGGGUCAGAAAUAAGCUACUGUAUUCCUGAACCUGGUAGUUUUAGUUUGCAUGCUGCCAAAACACCUCUUGGGUGGGAGGUAAAAGUCAUGACUCAUGCAAAAGUAGUGUAAUGCCUUAUAUUUUAAAUAUAGUAAUGAUUUAGUGUAAGGGAUUAUUUUGAAAAGACAGUAACAUAACAUGUAAGCUUAAUCAGUAGUAACUUGCCCAACACUGAUCAUCACCCAUACGACAUGCAUUUCAUUUUAUUAUAACCAGGGUGCGAUUUGUAGUCAGGGAUUGUCCCCCCUUGUGGUCUUGAUAUCGCCACUUUUUCUGCAUGAUUUUAUCACAGUUCAAUGUAAUUCCAUUGAUAUCGCUUACAAUCUGAAACAUAUUCCCCCUUCUGGUUUUCCAGAUCACAAAUCGCACCCUGAUUAUAACCAUUGCAUUACUCUGGUUAUACAGUAGCCCACUACUUUUCAUUACAUGUAAUGAUGUAGAGAUCUAGAGCUAAUAUAAUGCUUCUCCCAGUAGGCCUAGUGGAUCCACACCGUGACCUAAGUGCACUGGACCCUGUUGAUAUGCAGCCACCUCAGCUUCAUGAAGAAACGGCAAGAUUCAGAUGACUACACCGUUUCAGAUCUACUCAUCUCGCUCACCUGUCCACCUGGAUGAAGGAUCACACUCUGCAGCUGAACAUGUCCAAAACCAAGCUCCCAAUCAAAUUGUUCUAGGUUAAUCUCUAACAACAACCUUUUUCUUCCUGCA